GCGCGCUUAACUCAGUUGGUUAGAGUGGCGACCUUUUAAGUCGUUUGUCCCCGGUUCGAGUCCGGGAGCGCGCA
rnacentral:tRNA from 1 species